rnacentral:rRNA from 1 species
CCUACGGGAGGCUGCAGUGGGGAAUAUUGCACAAUGGGGGAAACCCUGAUGCAGCGACGCCGCGUGAGUGAAGAAGGAUUUCGGUAUGUAAAGCUCUAUCAGCAGGGAAGAAAGUGACGGUACCUGAUCAAUACUCCCCGGCUAACUACGGUCCAGCAGCCGCGGUAAUACGGAGGGGGCAAGCGUUAUCCGGAUUUACUGGGUGUAAAGGGAGCGUAGACGGCAGGACAAGUCUGGAGUGAAAUGCCGGGGCUUAACCCGGGAACUGCUUUGGAAACUGUGCAGCUAGAGUGCAGGAGAGGUAAGUGGAAUUCCUGGUGUAGCGGUGAAAUGCGUAGAUAUCAGGAGGAACACCAGUGGCGAAGGCGGCUUACUGGACUGUAACUGACGUUGAGGCUCGAAAGCGUGGGGAGCAAACAGGAUUAGAUACCCGGGUAGUC